rnacentral:rRNA from 1 species
CCUACGGGUGGCAGCAGUGAGGAAUAUUGGUCAAUGGGCGCGAGCCUGAACCAGCCAAGUCGCGUGAGGGAAGACGGUCCUAUGGAUUGUAAACCUCUUUUGUCGGGGAGCAAAAGACGCCACGCGUGGCGUUCCGAGAGUACCCGAAGAAAAAGCAUCGGCUAACUCCGUGCCAGCAGCCGCGGUAAUACGGAGGAUGCGAGCGUUAUCCGGAUUUAUUGGGUUUAAAGGGUGCGCAGGCGGAAUAUCAAGUCAGCGGUAAAAUUGAGAGGCUCAACCUCUUCGAGCCGUUGAAACUGGUGUUCUUGAGUGAGCGAGAAGUAGGCGGAAUGCGUGGUGUAGCGGUGAAAUGCAUAGAUAUCACGAAGAACUCCGAUUGCGAAGGCAGCAUACCGGCGCGCAACUGACGCUCAUGCACGAAAGUGUGGGUAUCGAACAGGAUUAGAUACCCGGGUAGUC